CCUCCGUUGGUGAACCAGCGGAGGGAUCAUUACAGGACUCGCAAGACUCCUUCACCCUGUGAACCUCACUACAAGCACGUUGCUUCGGCGGGUGUCCCGGCGGGGGUUUUCCCUCGCCGGGGCGCACAGCCCGCCGGCAGCCUACUAUACUCUGUCUCUUUGCGUUGGCAUCUCGAGAAAAAACAAACAGGUUAAAACUUUCAACAACGGAUCUCUUGGUUCUG
rnacentral:misc_RNA from 1 species